GUGAGAAUAAGCAGGGCCUGCUCCCAGAGGGCUUCUGGAAGUCCUUUGAAGAGGCACAUGGUUCCAGCUAGACAGCUCACCUGCUAACAUCAGAAACACAGUGAAGACCGAUUAGACUUUAAUUGCCCCAAAAAAAAAAAAAAAAAAAAAUCAGCCAGCUUUGUUUGGGGCUGAUUUACCCUUUUUGACUCACUCUGUUGAUCUUCUUAAUGGAUUAAUUAGCAAGUUCCUGCUUCACCUUUAUUC
rnacentral:lncRNA from 1 species